GACGAACGAGGGGGGAGGGAGGAACACAUGCAAGUCGAACGGAAAGGCCCUGCUUUUGUGGGGUGCUCGAGUGGCGAACGGGUGAGUAACACGUGAGUAACCUGCCCUUGACUUUGGGAUAACUUCAGGAAACUGGGGCUAAUACCGGAUAGGAGCUCCUGCUGCAUGGUGGGGGUUGGAAAGUUUCGGCGGUUGGGGAUGGACUCGCGGCUUAUCAGCUUGUUGGUGGGGUAGUGGCUUACCAAGGCUUUGACGGGUAGCCGGCCUGAGAGGGUGACCGGCCACAUUGGGACUGAGAUACGGCCCAGACUCCUACGGGAGGCAGCAGUGGGGAAUAUUGCACAAUGGGCGGAAGCCUGAUGCAGCAACGCCGCGUGCGGGAUGACGGCCUUCGGGUUGUAAACCGCUUUCGCCUGUGACGAAGCGUGAGUGACGGUAAUGGGUAAAGAAGCACCGGCUAACUACGUG
rnacentral:rRNA from 1 species